ensembl:lncRNA
AAGCGGGCCGCGGCCGGGCAGAUCGCGGCUCCUGGGAGCCCCAGCCGACGGUGCGCAUGCCCGACGCGGCUCCGUGAAGAUUAAGCGACGCGAGCAGCUGCUCCUGGCUCGGCCUGCAGCCGGCUACAUCCUGCAGCACCAGGACGGGGCGGGAAGCGUUACUGGAUUGCAAGUGAAUGCAACAGAUGUGGUGAGCCAAGCUCUCUUCUCAGUGUAAAAGGAACCCAUCGGAAGCAGUUCAGAUGCAGACACCUACAGUCAGUCAGACAAACCAGGGCUUCUUUAUACACUGGCAAUGCAGUGUCAGAAUUGAAAAUGCAUUUUGUGUAACAACUAUUUAACAAGCACUGAAAUGUACAGCUGCAAAGUGAAUGGGGUAUGUAAGCUGCUACUCUUCAAUUAGCUGCUGUGAUAAAAAAAACUGCUGAGCAAAUUCCAGGAACAGCGAUCGUGUCAAGAGCUGCACAUGCUGAAGAAUGCUGCCUCGUUGUUUUAGCUGGGCCAUCCAAACUGUAUUUAACUCAGAUUUCAAGAAUUUCUUCGCAAGAUGGAUAUGACAGAGCAGUGCCCAGGCUGAGAGCCAGUCUUAGCCUGAUGGACAGGUGCCACAGGUGCCUACAUCAAAGCAGUGGAGGGGAGAGAAACCACCACAGAAACAGGAACAAGCGGCCAGGACAGAGCAGAACUUGUAAAACCAUGACUUCAACGUUUUCAAAAGAUAGGAAUGAAGCAGAGCAGUUGUAAUGGUUUACAAACAAAAAACGUGAAGAAUAGUCACAAUUAAAUUCCCUCACAACUAGUAGUAAGAUGUAACCUUUAGUAAGAGGGAAAAAAAAGGUAAAGAAAGCCCAGGGGACCUUCUCAGAAUGUCAGCAGUUCAAAUGCCAUCCAUGUUAGGACACUCGAAGCUCUGACUCAAGCCUAGGCUGGAUGGGGCCCUGGGCAACCCGAUCUGCUGGGUGGCAACCAGCCCAUGGCAGGAGGUUGGAAGUGGAUGAUUUUAAGGUCCCUUCCAGCCUCAGUCAUGCUGUGAUUCUAGAUGAGGACUGCUCCAAAACCAACGUCUCCUAUUUUAUUACGCUGGCCCAUGGUAUCAGAGGUAGAUGUUGAUGGUAUGGCAGUAGAGGGCGAACCUUCCCACUAAUAUUCUGUGACAUUCUGUUGCUGCAAAGGUGUGUCAUGUAGAAACAAUGGCACCCAUGAACAUUCAUCAACCCCUGUGAACAUUUAUGGAGACCACAGUGGAUGUGAGCACAGUGAAGGGUGGGUGGCAUUUCAGCAGUGAAGAUGGUGGCAGUGAGGCACUUCCCUGGUGCAUAUUGUUACAAGUGCAGCACACAGGUCCCCUCAUUCAUCUC